UGCAUAUCAAAAAGCGGAGGAAAAGAAACCAACAGGGAUUGCACUAGUAACGGCGAGUGAAGCGGCAACAGCUCAAAUUUGAAAUCUGGCUCUUUCAGAGUCCGAGUUGUAAUUUGCAGAGGGCGCUUUGGCUUUGGCAGCGGUCCAAGUUCCUUGGAACAGGACGUCACAGAGGGUGAGAAUCCCGUACGUGGUCGCUAGCUAUUGCCGUGUAAAGCCCCUUCGACGAGUCGAGUUGUUUGGGAAUGCAGCUCUAAAUGGGAGGUAAAUUUCUUCUAAAGCUAAAUAUUGGCCAGAGACCGAUAGCGCACAAGUAGAGUGAUCGAAAGAUGAAAAGCACUUUGGAAAGAGAGUCAAACAGCACGUGAAAUUGUUGAAAGGGAAGCGCUUGCAGCCAGACUUGCUUGCAGUUGCUCAUCCGGGCUUUUGCCCGGUGCACUCUUCUGCAGGCAGGCCAGCAUCAGUUUGGGCGGUGGGAUAAAGGUCUCUGACACGUUCCUUCCUUCGGGUUGGCCAUAUAGGGGAGACGUCAUACCACCAGCCUGGACUGAGGUCCGCGCAUCUGCUAGGAUGCUGGCGUAAUGGCUGUAAGCGGCCCGUCUUGAACACGGACCA
rnacentral:rRNA from 1 species